AAAUUGAAGAGUUUGAUCAUGGCUCAGAUUGAACGCUGGCGGCAGGCCUAACACAUGCAAGUCGAACGGUAACAGGAAGCAGCUUGCUGCUUCGCUGACGAGUGGCGGACGGGUGAGUAAUGUCUGGGAAACUGCCUGAUGGAGGGGGAUAACUACUGGAAACGGUGGCUAAUACCGCAUAACGUCGCAAGACCAAAGAGGGGGACCUUCGGGCCUCUUGCCAUCAGAUGUGCCCAGAUGGGAUUAGCUUGUUGGUGAGGUAACGGCUCACCAAGGCGACGAUCCCUAGCUGGUCUGAGAGGAUGACCAGCCACACUGGAACUGAGACACGGUCCAGACUCCUACGGGAGGCAGCAGUGGGGAAUAUUGCACAAUGGGCGCAAGCCUGAUGCAGCCAUGCCGCGUGUAUGAAGAAGGCCUUCGGGUUGUAAAGUACUUUCAGCGGGGAGGAAGGUGUUGCGGUUAAUAACCGCAGCAAUUGACGUUACCCGCAGAAGAAGCACCGGCUAACUCCGUGCCAGCAGCCGCGGUAAUACGGAGGGUGCAAGCGUUAAUCGGAAUUACUGGGCGUAAAGCGCACGCAGGCGGUCUGUCAAGUCGGAUGUGAAAUCCCCGG
rnacentral:rRNA from 2 species